rnacentral:rRNA from 1 species
GAUGAACGCUGGCGGCGUGCCUAAUACAUGCAAGUCGAGCGAACGGACGAGAAGCUUUUUUCUCUGAUGUUAGCGGCGGACGGGUGAGUAACACGUGGAUAACCUUCCUAUAAGACUGGGAUAACUUCGGGAAACCGGAUAUAAUAACGGAUCAUAUUUUGAACCGGUUGGUUCAAAAGUGAAAGACGGUCUUGCUGAUACAAAGAGAUGGAUCCGCGCUGCAUUAGCUAGUUGGUAAGGUAACGGCUUACCAAGGCAACGAUGCAUAGCCGACCUGAGAGGGUGAUCGGCCACACUGGAACUGAGACACGGUCCAGACUCCUACGGGAGGCAGCAGUAGGGAAUCUUCCGCAAUGGGCGAAAGCCUGACGGAGCAACGCCGCGUGAGUGAUGAAGGUCUUCGGAUCGUAAAACUCUGUUAUUAGGGAAGAACAUAUGUGUAAGUAACUGUGCACAUCUUGACGGUACCUAAUCAGAAAGCCACGGCUAACUACGUG